GUGGGGAAUAUUGGACAAUGGGGGGAACCCUGAUCCAGCCAUGCCGCGUGUGUGAAGAAGGCCUUUUGGUUGUAAAGCACUUUAAGCGAGGAGGAGGCUACCGAGAUUAAUACUCUUGGAUAGUGGACGUUACUCGCAGAAUAAGCACCGGCUAACUCUGUGCCAGCAGCCGCGGUAAUACAGAGGGUGCAAGCGUUAAUCGGAUUUACUGGGCGUAAAGCGCGCGUAGGUGGCCAAUUAAGUCAAAUGUGAAAUCCCCGAGCUUAACUUGGGAAGUGCAUUCGAUACUGGUUGGCUAAAGUAUGGGAGAGGAUGGUAGAAUUCCAGGUGUAGCGGUGAAAUGCGUAGAGAUCUGGAGGAAUACCGAUGGCGAAGGCAGCCAUCUGGCCUAAUACUGACACUGAGGUGCGAAAGCAUGGGGAGCAAACAGGAUUAGAUACCCUGGUAGUCC
rnacentral:rRNA from 1 species